GCAUUUUGAUCAUUGCUUUUUUUAAUGUUUCACAGAUUACAUAUUUUUCAUUUGCUGUUUUUUAUUAUUAUUAUUGUGUUCAUGCUGAUUUCUGUCAUUGCAGUUAUAAAUAUAACACUGCAUCAAGGAUGCACCGUAAGUUUCAGAGUUGGACUCACAACUUCUAUCAGUCAUAGUAUGAAGAUAUGAUGAGAGAUAAGAAAAUAAGAUAUGCAUUGUGGAUUUUUGUAAUAUGAAUGUUGUUGACUUUCUAUUUAUUCUUUAUGGAUUUGUGCUCAAACUAACUUUUGUUUGCUGUUAAUAAAUCAUCAAAUUCUGCCUUCAACAUUGUGAUUCAGACCUCUGGAGGAUGCCUUAAAAAUCUCUUUGAGCAGAUAGAGAACAUUACAGCUCAAGUGCUUCCUUUGAAUAUUGUGACAGACAUUUUGACUGUGGCCUUCAACGCUUCAGAGAAGAUUUUAGAGACAACAACCUCAGCAAGCCCAACUGAACUAGCCUCCCAUGGAAACAAAAUGUUAAAAACCAGUGAGAAACUCAUUUCUACUUUAGUGAAGCCGACAGACACGAAUGACAGUGUCAGGUUUACUCUUCCCACUGUAGAGGGACAAGUCUUCAUGGUUGGAGCAAAGGUCACUUUAGAUAAAAUCCCUCGACUUGACACGAAAAAUUCAUCUGUGGACAUUGAUCUCAUUGGGAUCGCCAAGAACAACUACGAAACAAGUAUGUGAAAUGAUUCAGUGUGAUUAAAAAAUCAAAAAAGGGACCACCAUCACAACCACAUUUAAUUACUUUUUAGAUUUUUUUUUUAACAGUAUUGCAUUUCUGUUUCUGUCACAUAGGAUCAGCUGCUGUGGCUUUCAUGAGCUACAACACGAUGGAGAACCUACUGAAGCCAGACUUCUUCAACACAUCGAAUGAGACGGUUAAAACCAUGAUGUCCACCG
ensembl:lncRNA